rnacentral:rRNA from 1 species
GAUGAACGCUGACAGCAUGCUUAACACAUCAGCAAUUGAUUGGUAGCGAACGGGUGAGUAACGCGUAAAGAACUUGCCUCACAGCUAGGGACAACAUUUGGAAACGAAUGCUAAUACCUAAUACUGUGAGAGAUCUUUGCGUCCCAUUAGCUAGUUGGAGAGGUAACGGCUCACCAAGGCGAUGAUGGGUAGCCGUCCUGUGAGGGUGAUCGGCCACAAGGGGACGGAGACACGGCCCUUACGACUACGGGAGGCAGGAGUGGGGAAGAUAGGACAAGGGAACAAAGACUGAUCCAGCAAUUCUGUGUGCACGAUGAAGUUUUCGGAAUGUAAAGUGCUUUCAGUUGGGAAGCGGUACCAACAGAAGAAGUGACGGCUAAAUACGUGCCAGCAGCCGCGGUAAUAC